AAAUUAAUGCCCGUUGUAGUCUGAACAGCUUCAGCUAGAAUUAUCUCAGAAAUCAACUUGACCCAGUAUGAGAACAGAACUGUUAUUAUCAAGACCACUAGUGAUAUUUUCUCUUUUACUUCUAUUAUUAGAACUACAAUACAAACUUCAGUCCCUGUAAGAGUGAUCAAGGAGAGAUCUGUCCUCACUGAAGUCAGUCAGAUGUAUUCUUCAUCCAUGGAAGCAGAUCCUUGCACAAGGGAGGUGAUGGGACAUGCCAUGCCAGUGGGACGUGAUUAGCCAGAGGAACUGUAAGCACCUGGAGCCACUUGUCUCUCCUGGAGGACAUCAGUGCUGAGAAGAGUCAACACCCAACCUCUCCUAGGAAAGAAAGUGGAGAAACUUGCCUGCAAGGGACAACAGAAGAGAACAUGUGGGCUCGAGUCUGUGGUGGAGAAGGGAAUAUUAAACCAGGGUCUCCCCGCUCCUGAGGGCAGUAGCUCACCCAGCACUAAUGGGAACACUGCACUGCUUGUGACUCUCCACCUCCAGCUGAAAAAGACUUGUUUGCUGCUCAGUUUCUGA
rnacentral:lncRNA from 1 species